UACGUAGGGCGCAAGCGUUGUCCGGAAUUAUUGGGCGUAAAGAGCUCGUAGGCGGUUUGUCGCGUCUGCUGUGAAAACCUAAGGCUCAACCUUGGGCUUGCAGUGGGUACGGGCAGACUAGAGUGCGGUAGGGGUGACUGGAAUUCCUGGUGUAGCGGUGGAAUGCGCAGAUAUCAGGAGGAACACCGAUGGCGAAGGCAGGUCACUGGGCCGCAACUGACGCUGAGGAGCGAAAGCAUGGGGUGCGAACAGG
rnacentral:rRNA from 1 species